rnacentral:rRNA from 1 species
UACGUAGGGGGCAAGCGUUGUCCGGAAUUACUGGGCGUAAAGGGCGCGUAGGCGGCCUGCCAAGUCUUGUGUGAAAACCCUGGUUUCAAGCCAGGAGGUGCACGGGAAACUGGCGGGCUUGAGUGCAGGAGAGGGAAGUGGAAUUCCAAGUGUAGCGGUGAAAUGCGUAGAGAUUUGGAGGAACACCAGUGGCGAAGGCGACUUUCUGGACUGUAACUGACGCUGAGGCGCGAAAGCGUGGGGAGCAAACAGGAUUAGAUACC